GGGCACAUGGUGUAGUUGGUUAUCACAUCCGCUUAGCAUCGCGGUCCAGUGUUAUAGCGUUGGUUUGCGGGGGGUGCUGGGUUCAAUUCCCAGUGUGUCCA